rnacentral:rRNA from 1 species
UACGUAGGGUGCAAGCGUUGUCCGGAAUUACUGGGCGUAAAGAGCUCGUAGGUGGUUUGUCACGUCGUCUGUGAAAUUCCACAGCUUAACUGUGGGCGUGCAGGCGAUACGGGCUGACUUGAGUACUGUAGGGGUAACUGGAAUUCCUGGUGUAGCGGUGAAAUGCGCAGAUAUCAGGAGGAACACCGAUGGCGAAGGCAGGUUACUGGGCAGUUACUGACGCUGAGGAGCGAAAGCAUGGGU